UACGUAGGGUGCAAGCGUUGUCCGGAUUUAUUGGGCGUAAAGAGCUCGUAGGCGGUCUGUCGCGUCGGAUGUGAAAACCCAGGGCUCAACCCUGGGCCUGCAUUCGAUACGGGCAGACUAGAGUGUGGCAGGGGAGACUGGAAUUCCUGGUGUAGCGGUGAAAUGCGCAGAUAUCAGGAGGAACACCGGUGGCGAAGGCGGGUCUCUGGGCCAAUACUGACGCUGAGGAGCGAAAGCGUGGGUAGCAAACAGG
rnacentral:rRNA from 1 species